UCCCUGCUCUGUAAAUAAAGCUA
rnacentral:piRNA from 1 species